UCAAGUGAAUAAGUGCAUCAGGUGGAUGCCUUGGCGAUGAUAGGCGACGAAGGACGUGUAAGCCUGCGAAAAGCGUGGGGGAGCUGGCAAUAAAGCUAUGAUCCCGCGAUGUCCGAAUGGGGAAACCCACCUCUUAGGAGGUAUCCUUAUCUGAAUACAUAGGAUAAGCGAAGCGAACCCGGAGAACUGAACCAUCUAAGUACCCGGAGGAAAAGAAAUCAACCGAGAUUCCGCAAGUAGUGGCGAGCGAACGCGGAGGAGCCUGUACGUAAUAACUGUCGAGAUAGAAGAACAAGCUGGGAAGCUUGACCAUAGUGGGUGAUAGUCCCGUAUUCGAAAUCUCAAUAGUGGUACUAAGCGUACGAAAAGUAGGGCGGGACACGUGAAAUCCUGUCUGAAUAUGGGGGGACCAUCCUCCAAGGCUAAAUACUCAUCAUCGACCGAUAGUGAACCAGUACCGUGAGGGAAAGGCGAAAAGAACCCCGGGAGGGGAGUGAAAUAGAACCUGAAACCUGAUGCAUACAAACAGUGGGAGCACCCUUGUGGUGUGACUGCGUACCUUUUGUAUAAUGGGUCAACGACUUACAUUCAGUAGCGAGCUUAACCGAAUAGGGGAGGCGUAGGGAAACCGAGUCUUAAUAGGGCGAACAGUUGCUGGGUGUAGACCCGAAACCGAGUGAUCUAUCCAUGGCCAGGUUGAAGGUGCCGUAACAGGUACUGGAGGACCGAACCCACGCAUGUUGCAAAAUGCGGGGAUGAGCUGUGGAUAGGGGUGAAAGGCUAAACAAACUCGGAGAUAGCUGGUUCUCCCCGAAAACUAUUUAGGUAGUGCCUCGAGCAAGACACUGAUGGGGGUAAAGCACUGUUAUGGCUAGGGGGUUAUUGCAACUUACCAACCCAUGGCAAACUAAGAAUACCAUCAAGUGGUUCCUCGGGAGACAGACAGCGGGUGCUAACGUCCGUUGUCAAGAGGGAAACAACCCAGACCGCCAGCUAAGGUCCCAAAUGAUAGAUUAAGUGGUAAACGAAGUGGGAAGGCCCAGACAGCCAGGAUGUUGGCUUAGAAGCAGCCAUCAUUUAAAGAAAGCGUAAUAGCUCACUGGUCGAGUCGUCCUGCGCGGAAGAUGUAACGGGGCUCAAAUCUAUAACCGAAGCUGCGGAUGCCAGUUUACUGGCAUGGUAGGGGAGCGUUCUGUAGGCCGAUGAAGGUGCAUUGUAAAGUGUGCUGGAGGUAUCAGAAGUGCGAAUGUUGACAUGAGUAGCGAUAAAGCGGGUGAAAAGCCCGCUCGCCGAAAGCCCAAGGUUUCCUACGCAACGUUCAUCGGCGUAGGGUGAGUCGGCCCCUAAGGCGAGGCAGAAAUGCGUAGUCGAUGGGAAACAGGUUAAUAUUCCUGUACUUGAUUCAAAUGCGAUGUGGGGACGGAGAAGGUUAGGUUAGCAAGCUGUUGGAAUAGCUUGUUUAAGCCGGUAGGUGGAAGACUUAGGCAAAUCCGGGUCUUCUUAACACCGAGAAGUGAUGACGAGUGUCUACGGACAUGAAGUAACCGAUACCACGCUUCCAGGAAAAGCCACUAAGCUUCAGUUUGAAUCGAACCGUACCGCAAACCGACACAGGUGGGCAGGAUGAGAAUUCUAAGGCGCUUGAGAGAACUCAGGAGAAGGAACUCGGCAAAUUGAUACCGUAACUUCGGGAGAAGGUAUGCCCUCUAAGGUUAAGGACUUGCUCCGUAAGCCCUGGAGGGUCGCAGAGAAUAGGUGGCUGCGACUGUUUAUUAAAAACACAGCACUCUGCUAACACGAAAGUGGACGUAUAGGGUGUGACGCCUGCCCGGUGCUGGAAGGUUAAUUGAAGAUGUGCAAGCAUCGGAUCGAAGCCCCAGUAAACGGCGGCCGUAACUAUAACGGUCCUAAGGUAGCGAAAUUCCUUGUCGGGU
rnacentral:rRNA from 1 species